rnacentral:rRNA from 1 species
AGAGUUUGAUCCUGGCUCAGGACGAACGCUGGCGGCGUGCCUAAUACAUGCAAGUCGAGCGAAGUUUUUCUGGUGCUUGCACCGGAAAAACUUAGCGGCGAACGGGUGAGUAACACGUAAAGAACCUGCCUCAUAGACUGGGACAACUAUUGGAAACGAUAGCUAAUACCGGAUAACAGCAUUAACUGCAUGGUUGAUGUUUAAAAGUUGGUUUUGCUAACACUAUGAGAUGGCUUUGCGGUGCAUUAGCUAGUUGGUGGGGUAAAGGCCUACCAAGGCGACGAUGCAUAGCCGACCUGAAAGGGUGAUCGGCCACACUGGGACUGAGACACGGCCCAGACUCCUACGGGAGGCAGCAGUAGGGAAUCUUCCGCAAUGGGCGAAAGCCUGACGGAGCAACGCCGCGUGAGUGAAGAAGGAUUUCGGUUCGUAAAGCUCUGUUGUUAGGGAAGAAUGAUUGUGUAGUAACUAUACACAGUAGAGACGGUACCUAACCAGAAAGCCACGGCUAACUACGUGCCAGCAGCCGCGGUAAUACGUAGGUGGCAAGCGUUGUCCGGAAUUAUUGGGCGUAAAGCGCGCGCAGGUGGUUUAAUAAGUCUGAUGUGAAAGCCCACGGCUCAACCGUGGAGGGUCAUUGGAAACUGUUAAACUUGAGUGCAAGAGAGAAAAGUGGAAUUCCUAAUGUAGCGGAGAAAUGCGUACAGCUUAGGAGGUACACCUCUGGCGAAAGCGUGCUUUAUGGACUGUCUUCGAUACUGAGGCGUGAUAGCGUGAAGAUCAACCAUGACUAAGUACCUGCUACUCCUCGCCCUCACGAUGAGUGCUAAGUGUAG